UUACUCAUUGACUAGUGGGACAUUUGUUUGAUUUCAUGAGAUUAGAUUCUGUCCUCUUAAUCCAAAGACAAGGGCAAGGACCAAGUCCUGCUUAAGCACACAAUCUCAAGAAAAGGUCAGCUCCAAUCAUGUGCUCAGCCAUGGUAAAAAACGGACUUGUAAUGGACUUCUAAUUUUUAGUUCUUACAUGAUAGACUGAAUAAACUAGGCCUUGACUUGUAGUGUACAAAACCUAAAGAAGGUCAGGCUUAACCUUGUUGCUAAGAGUUGGCAAUUAAUAACACAAGUGUCUUACAUGUGUGAAAAACUUCCCUUCACUCACACACUCAGGGCAUUACAAAGACUUUAUCUAGAGAUGCUAGUUACACUUUUACUGGAGCUUAUUUUCAGAAGCUUUCUUUCAAAUGCUAAAUUUUGCUUAGACCACAAAAGCCCAUCUGCUGAAUUGUUUGAGCUCAGGCAGGUGCUCAUUCUUAUAGCUGAACUUGAAGUCAGUAGAGCUUCUCCAGAGGCCUGCAACAGGUUGCUCCAGAGUCAGGGUUUAGGGUUUUUGCUAUUAAGGUUGAAGACACAGCUGGCUAGAAACCAUUCAAGAGAGCAUUUAUUAUUCCUCAAAAGGAGGAGACCAAGUGUUGACAUUGCUAUGACAAAGUGGCUUUGGCUUUGAGAACACCAGUGGGCACCAUGUUCCCUUUUAGACUUCCUUCAUCCAGUGCACAUGAAAAAAUUUGACACAAGUAAAGGAGUCGAAGAAGAGGAAGCUCUCAUGCCCCCAUUCACAUGGCCUGCCACUUAGCUCACAUUCACCACACUUACCUCCAAAUCCAGCAGUUCAGGGUUCCCAUUCCCACCUGCUCCAUGCUCCCAACUAUUCCACAUGGAAAAUGUAAUCACAUUCACAAGAUGCAUGGUUGAGCCAGAACUAGUUGGCAGUUCACACAACAGUGUUUUAAAGUGUAUGUGCUUCCUCACCCUAUAUUUCUUAAGGUUUUUAAAAGAAUAUAAGUAAAAGAAUAUAAAUUAUAUAUGAUAUCUUUGUAUAUGUAUAUAUAGAUAUACAGAUAUAUAUGUCACAGACAUACAUAUUUACUCUAAUAAUUAUAAAAAUAAUACAAUAAAUAGAAAUAAGUAAAAUAGAUUAACUUUAUAAUAUCUUUCAAAGAACCUUCCUAGAAGCUUUGUAGACAUAAUUUCAUCUUUAUAUGUGUCUAUAGGUGAUUGAUAGGUUGAAUACUCAGCCAACAAGUUAAUCACGUGUCAUAUGUGCUAGUAGCUUGUGGUACAAGCUGAUCAUGUGGCACACAUAUAUGAAACUUGUCUUACAAGUUAAGAUAUGUGUCUCACAAAUUAGACACGUAUUGGAGGUCCUAUAAAAUGUUGCCAUGUAGCUCUUAGUUAGAUAGUAUAUAUAGAGGCAAGAGUGAAGCCUCCUUCAUUCUUGUCAAUUCCUUUCUUGCUUCUAAUGUAGUUUCAAAUAUCUCUAGUUUCCUUGUCUUUUGGCAAUAGUCAUUUCAAUUUCUUUUGAAUAUACAUAUGUAUUUAUAUUAUUUUUUUGUCAUCAUUCUUUGAAAAAAAUCUUGGUUGUUUAUUCACAUUCAUUAAGUUCUUAUCCUUGACAAUUUAUAGAUUUGUGUGUUUAUUUUAAAAAAUUAUAUUCUUUGAUCCACCUUCCUACAAAAUAAAAAAAAAAAAUAUUAAAAGAUAAAAUAGUGGGUUUUAAUUUAUUUUUAUUUUUUACUUAUUUCUUAUUUAUUUCAAAAAAUUGUACUCUUUUUUAAACUUUGAUGUAAGUUAAAG
rnacentral:lncRNA from 1 species